GAUGAACGCUGGCGGCGUGCCUAAUACAUGCAAGUAGAACGCUGAAGGAGGAGCUUGCUCUUCUGGAUGAGUUGCGAACGGGUGAGUAACGCGUAGGUAACCUGCCUGGUAGCGGGGGAUAACUAUUGGAAACGAUAGCUAAUACCGCAUGACAACAGUUAUUGCAUGAUAACUGUUUAAAAGGGGGAACUGCUCCACUACCAGAUGGACCUGCGUUGUAUUAGCUAGUUGGUGAGGUAACGGCUCACCAAGGCGACGAUACAUAGCCGACCUGAGAGGGUGAUCGGCCACACUGGGACUGAGACACGGCCCAGACUCCUACGGGAGGCAGCAGUAGGGAAUCUUCGGCAAUGGACGGAAGUCUGACCGAGCAACGCCGCGUGAGUGAAGAAGGUUUUCGGAUCGUAAAGCUCUGUUGUAAGAGAAGAACGAGUGUGAGAGUGGAAAGUUCACACUGUGACGGUAGCUUACCAGAAAGGGACGGCUAACUACGUG
rnacentral:rRNA from 1 species